CUUCUCUCUAUCCUUGGGCCCUCCUCCUUCCUCUCACUUGCCUGACCCUUCAUGGGCUCCUCCACUCAGUCUCCCCAUCCCCUCCCCUCACUGCCCUGCAGUGUCCUCCAGCUCCUCUGCUUCCACGGGGCCCUGGGCAGCCUGUGGCCCUCUUGGGGCUGUUUCUCUCCUCCACACAAGGGGGUGGCUGCCUCUGAGGCAUCCCAACGCCAGCAUUCCACAGAAUCCCACCCCUGACAUCCCCCAAGUUCUUUCCUCCAUUGUCUCUUCCUUCCCUCCCCAGCUCUUUGCACCCUGACACCAGCUCCUUAACUGAACCUUCUUCUGGCACUUCAGUUCCAAUCUGCUCAGCUCCCCUGGGCCAGCCCCCCUCCAUCCCCUGCCUCUUUGACCUCCUCUCCUCUUCACCCCACAGAGAUCUUCCCUGAUGGCCUUACUUCUCUCACCCUUUGCUGCCUCUCCUCAUUGCUCAGAAAGACCAUGUCCUAUCUGGGUCUCUCUGGGGACUGAGCCUCAGUGGACCUGGAGGGGACAAUAAAGAGGAUGGAGAAAGGAAAGGAGGGCCAGAUUGCUCAUGGUGAGAACAGGGGAGUUAAAAUCAGGAGCAGGGGUGUGGGGGGGGGGCAGUGAGUGCAGAAGGAGAAGAGCCUGGAGAGCAUGGCGUGGAGAUGACCCCAGCUGGGACAGAGGUUAGCCAGGAACACUCCACUGGGCAAGAAGAAGAAAGGAAUGAGAAAGGAUGUUGGACGAGGCUGCUCCUGGGAACUGGAUGAAGAGAAAGCAGAGGCGUGAAAAAGAUAAAGAUAAUCUAAGAAAAAAAGAGAAGGGGGAGAGAAAAGAGGUGGAAAGCUUGAAAGUGGUAUGGAGGAACAAAGAUUGGGAAGCAAGAAAGGACAGGUGAAGAACAGUGAUGAGGAGGCAGCGAUGCGUGCAGAAAUGGGGACCAUGAGGGCACAGACGGGAAGUGAAGAUACGGGCAUGAAAGAUGAGGAAGGGACAAAAAGGGAGUCAAAAAAAUGAGAGGGGAUGGAUGGGCAGAAAUGGAAGUGAAGGACAUACAGAAUUUAGAGACAACAAGGAACAGAGUGGGAACUGGCGAAGGCACAGGGACGGAAGCAUGGAGCUGUCAGAGUGCCAGGACGGAAGGCAACAGAGGCAGAGAGGGGAAGCGACGGGAAGACAGAGGAGGUGAUGGGAGCACAGGAACGAGGAGCACAGAACGGCGAGUGUUGGAGGGCUGAGAUGGGGACCAAAGAGGGAAGGUGAUGAAGUGUAUGGAUGGGAAGCAAUGGAGGGGUCCCCUCCACUGAGACCUGCCCCUCAGACUUUGGGGCACUUCUGGGAAGUAAGAACAAGGAGGCUUUCAUCCCUUCGUCUGGAUGCCACCUCUGCACUGACAUCAACCUGAGUUCUGCUUGGACAAGGGCAGACUCCUGAGCCUCACAAUGGUGCCUUCACCCCCAGGGGGAAUCCCCAUGUCCCAGACGGAGAAACUGAGGCCACACAUAGGGAAAGGCUGUCCUGAAGGUCAGACUCCUCCUCAUCCCAGUCUCUUCAUCACCAGACAGCUCCACACCCCAGGCUCAACCCUCUGAGGAUGCCUGGGCCAUCCCCAUCCCCUCCAUCUCUUCAGGCACAAGGGCCCUUGAUGCCCAGAGUGCCUCCAGGGCCAUCACACUUGGGGUGAAGCAGACGUGCAUCUGGGCCAGAUUCCUACUUGACCUUGUGUAUCAGUGGAGCCCCAAGAAGACCCGUCAUAGAGACAGCACGAGCAUCAAACAGCCACGCCUGGAGAAUCAGGAGGAGGCACACCUUCAAGAGAAAGGGGGCUGAGAUCUCAAAGGCACCCCCAGGGCCAGUGUCCAGAGGCUCCCAGAUUGCACCCACCUUGUCUUUACCUCCAAAGCUCUGCUCGGGCUCUGUCACCAGACACACAGACCAGUCUCGGGGACAGUCACACUUCCCAAGAGGCCCCUGUUCCCCAGCCCCAAUUCUCCAUGCAUCCCACCUGCCUGGAACCCAGGGAAGUUGUUCUAGUCUCUCUUCCCACCCCUGCUGAAAGAUGGCUUGACUCCCUAAACCCACAUCCAUCUCUCCGCUCCCUCCCAAAAGGCUCCAUCAUGUGGGAGUCCAGUAGUGAAGAUGGGCAGCACUCUUCUCCAUCCUGACCCCCUGCGGCCAUGGCAAGAAAUGCCCACCAUCCGUGGGCCCCACAUCCACCUCCACCACCACCACCCCGGGACUAAACCUUAAGAACACCUAGGUUCCAGCCGCACCCUGCCCCCAGUGCCCUGUGAUUAAGGACAAGGAUGUUCCUGUUACUGGGGCCUCAGUGUCCUCAGCAACUAAAUCAGACGGCUGGUCUCCAUCCUACUGUCUUCUCUGAGGACAAAUUAAAAGGACUUUGUAAGCCGUGAAACACGAAACAGUCAGUAGGGAUAGUUACUAUUAAACAGCAAAGUUACCACCAUCCCCAGAUCGCCUGCACAAAGCAGGAAUGAGCUGGAGAGGAAGAGGCCCAGCCCCAGCCCCGUCCUCAUUCCCCGAUAGCCAGGACUGGAGCGGCCCUGAGCUGGCCGGCGUCUGCGGGCUUUGGCAGGUACAGCGAGUGGCAGGCUGGACAGGAAGAAUCGUGUAGGAUCGGACAGGAUGUGGAGGUACCCAGGGAUGGGCCCGCCUCAGAACACCAGGAAAGCACUCAUGGAGAUGGAGAGGGCAUUCUUACAAAGAAGGAAAAAUCAAGAGCACAAUCCCAGAAACCAGUUGGUUAUGCACCCCUUAAGAAACUCAGGACUCUGCCCGAUGACUAAGGCUCCACAGUGUGGCAUGGAGGCAAAGGCACUGACCCCUGUUCUCAGCCCAGAUCUGCUAUUCACUCUGGAAAUCCACCGACUCCUCCGGGCCUCAGUGUCCAUGUUUGCAAAGUGAAGAAGCCAUUUAUAGUGUGUGUGCGUGUGUGUCUUUUUUCAGGCAGCUGGCGCGUA